UACGUAGGUGGCAAGCGUUGUCCGGAUUUACUGGGCGUAAAGGAUGUGUAGGCGGAUAUUUAAGUGAGAUGUGAAAUCCCCGGGCUUAACUUGGGGGCUGCAUUUCAAACUGGAUGUCUAGAGUGCAGGAGAGGAAAGCAGAAUUCCUAGUGUAGCGGUGAAAUGCGUAGAGAUUAGGAAGAAUACCAGUGGCGAAGGCGGCUUUCUGGACUGUAACUGACGCUGAGGCAUGAAAGCGUGGGGAG
rnacentral:rRNA from 1 species